CUUAAAUUUUAUACCUUCCGUAUACUUAAAGAAGGUCACUGAUGUUUAAGGUCCUGUUCUUUUGCCUGUCGCUGGCGACUGAAACCAGCGACAGCGAUCAAAAGUUGUUCGUUUGCUUGUCGCUGGUUCAGCGAUCAAAAGUAGCGACAGUCGCCAGGGACCAGCGACCGUAAUUUUUUGUCGUUAAAAUUUUUAGCGAUUAGUCGCUGCUUUUGGUCGCUGAAUCCAGCGACAUGCAAACGAACAACUUAUCGAUCAAAAAAUAU
rnacentral:sRNA from 1 species